ACCCGACUGCUAUCAGAGUGGGACUAAGCCAUGCGAGUCAACAUAGCAAUAUGUGGCAUACGGCUCAGUAACACGUAGUCAACAUGCCCAGGGGACGUGGAUAACCUCGGGAAACUGAGGAUAAACCGCGAUAGGUCAUCACUUCUGGAAUGGGUAAUGACUUAAAUCUAUAUGGCCCCUGGAUUGGACUGCGGCCGAUCAGGCUGUUGGUGAGGUAAUGGCCCACCAAACCUGUAACCGGUACGGGCUCUGAGAGGAGGAGCCCGGAGAUGGGCACUGAGACAAGGGCCCAGGCCCUAUGGGGCGCAGCAGGCGCGAAACCUCUGCAAUAGGCGAAAGCUUGACAGGGUUACUCUGAGUGAUUUCCGUUAAGGAGAUCUUUUGGCACCUCUAAAAAUGGUGCAGAAUAAGGGGUGGGCAAGUCUGGUGUCAGCCGCCGCGGUAAUACCAGCACCCCGAGUGGUCGGGACGUUUAUUGGGCCUAAAGCAUCCGUAGCCGGUUCUACAAGUCUUCCGUUAAAUCCACCUGCUUAACAGAUGGGCUGCGGAAGAUACUAUAGAGCUAGGAGGCGGGAGAGGCAAGCGGUACUCGAUGGGUAGGGGUAAAAUCCGUUGAUCCAUUGAAGACCACCAGUGGCGAAGGCGGCUUGCCAGAACGCGCUCGACGGUGAGGGAUGAAAGCUGGGGG
rnacentral:rRNA from 1 species